rnacentral:rRNA from 1 species
CCUACGGGUGGCAGCAGUGAGGAAUAUUGGUCAAUGGCCGAGAGGCUGAACCAGCCAAGUCGCGUGAGGGAAGACGGCCCUACGGGUUGUAAACCUCUUUUGUCGGGGAGCAAAGCGAGUCACGUGUGACUCAUCGAGUGUACCCGAAGAAAAAGCAUCGGCUCAGUCCGUGCCAGCAGCCGCGGUACUACGGAGGAUGAGAGCGUUAUCCGGAUUUAUUGGGUUUAAAGGGUGCGCAGGCGGAGGUGAAAGUAAGCGGUCAAAUGGCGGGGCUCAACCCCGUACUGCCGUUGAAACUGCAUCCCUUGAGUGCGCGAGAAGGAUGCGGAAUGCGUUGUGUAGCGGUGAAAUGCAUAGAGAUCGCGCAGAACACCGGUUGCGAAGGCAGCUUACCGGCGCGCAACUGACGCUGAUGCGCGAAAGCGUGGGUAUCGAACAGGAUUAGAUACCCCUGUAGUC